CAGCGGCGGACGGGUGAGUAACACGUGGGUAACCUGCCUGUAAGACUGGGAUAACUCCGGGAAACCGGGGCUAAUACCGGAUAACUCAUUUCCUCGCAUGAGGAAAUGUUGAAAGGUGGCUUUUAGCUAUCACUUACAGAUGGACCCGCGGCGCAUUAGCUAGUUGGUGAGGUAACGGCUCACCAAGGCGACGAUGCGUAGCCGACCUGAGAGGGUGAUCGGCCACACUGGGACUGAGACACGGCCCAGACUCCUACGGGAGGCAGCAGUAGGGAAUCUUCCGCAAUGGACGAAAGUCUGACGGAGCAACGCCGCGUGAGUGAUGAAGGUUUUCGGAUCGUAAAACUCUGUUGUUAGGGAAGAACAAGUACCGUUCGAAUAGGGCGGUACCUUGACGGUACCUAACCAGAAAGCCACGGCUAACUACGUGCCAGCAGCCGCGGUAAUACGUAGGUGGCAAGCGUUGUCCGGAAUUAUUGGGCGUAAAGCGCGCGCAGGUGGUUCCUUAAGUCUGAUGUGAAAGCCCACGGCUCAACCGUGGAGGGUCAUUGGAAACUGGGGGACUUGAGUGCAGAAGAGGAAAGUGGAAUUCCAAGUGUAGCGGUGAAAUGCGUAGAUAUUUGGAGGAA
rnacentral:rRNA from 2 species